rnacentral:rRNA from 1 species
UACGUAGGGGGCUAGCGUUGUCCGGAUUUAUUGGGCGUAAAGAGCGUGUAGGCGGCCUUACAGGUCAGCUGUGAAAACUCGAGGCUCAACCUCGAGACGUCGGUUGAAACCGUCUGGCUAGAGUCCGGAAGAGGAGAGUGGAAUUCCCCGGUGUAGCGGUGAAAUGCGCAGAUAUCGGGAAGAACACCCGUGGCGAAGGCGGCUCUCUGGGACGGUACUGACGCUGAGACGCGAAAAGCGUGGGGAGCGAACAGG